GAUCCGGGAUAGCGCGAUUGUGACGCCCGAACCUUGUCAGGACCGGAAGGUAGCAGCAAUAAGGGAUGCUCACAAUAGGCGCUAGACUCCGGGUCUUUU
rnacentral:SRP_RNA from 1 species